rnacentral:rRNA from 1 species
AAGACUAAAGGGCAUUGUCAUAUUUUUUAGGUAAAAAGGUGGUUAUUUAAAUUUGUGUAAACUAGUUGUUUAUUAGAAGUGCAAUAACUAAUUGUAUUUAGGUAAAAUUUUUAUAAUUAGGUUUUAUUUUAGUAUUUUAUUGAUUUGAUCCACUAUAGCUAAAGUAGAGACUAGGAUUAGAUACCCUAUUAUUUUUAGUUUUAAAUUUUUAAUACCAGGGGAGUACGAAUGAUUUUAAAGUUUAAAACUCAAAGGACUUGGCGGUAUUUGUAGACUUAUUAGGGGAACCUGCCUCGUGAUCGAUGAUCCUCGUUAGACCUAACUUUUUUUUGUUUUCAGCUUGUAUACCGUCGUUAUCAGGUAACUUUUUAGAAUUUUGAGGUUGGCUAUAUAGCUAGUGAGCUUAUAUAUCAGAUCAAGGUGCAGCUUAUAAAGAUAGUGAGGGUGGGUUACAAUUAUAAUAUUUAUAAUUAUGGAUUAUUUAGUUAAAUUUUAUUUAUGAAGGAGGACUUAAAAGUAAAAAUAUGAUUUAGUAUAAUGGUAUUUUGAAUUUAGCUCUUGAAUGUGC